rfam:Stegodyphus mimosarum contig99642, whole genome shotgun sequence.
GCCUUCGUGGUGUAGUGGUCAGCACGCUCGGCGCGUAUUCGAGAGGUCCGUGGUUCGAAUCCCGGCGAGGGCA